rnacentral:rRNA from 1 species
ACUGAACGCUGGCGGCAGGCCUAACACAUGCAAGUCGAGCGGAUGAAGGGAGCUUGCUCCUGGAUUCAGCGGCGGACGGGUGAGUAAUGCCUAGGAAUCUGCCUGGUAGUGGGGGAUAACGUCCGGAAACGGUCGCUAAUACCGCAUACGUCCUGAGGGAGAAAGUGGGGGAUCUUCGGACCUCACGCUAUCAGAUGAGCCUAGGUCGGAUUAGCUAGUUGGUGGGGUAAAGGCCUACCAAGGCGACGAUCCGUAACUGGUCUGAGAGGAUGAUCAGUCACACUGGAACUGAGACACGGUCCAGACUCCUACGGGAGGCAGCAGUGGGGAAUAUUGGACAAUGGGCGAAAGCCUGAUCCAGCCAUGCCGCGUGUGUGAAGAAGGUCUUCGGAUUGUAAAGCACUUUAAGUUGGGAGGAAGGGCAGUAAGUUAAUACCUUGUUGUUUUGACGUUACCAACAGAAUAAGCACCGGCUAACUUCGUG